UACGAGAGGCCCAAACGUUAUUCGGAAUUACUGGGCUUAAAGAGUCCGUAGGCGGCGCGGAAAGUGGGGUGUGAAAUCCCUCGGCUUAACCGAGGAAUUGCGCUCCAAACUGCCGUGCUAGAGGAACCUAGAGGUGAGCAGAACUGAUGGUGGAGCGGUGAAAUGCGUUGAUAUCAUCAGGAAUACCGGAGGCGAAGGCGGCUCACUGGGGGUUUUCUGACGCUGAGGGACGAAAGCCAGGGUAGCGAACGGG
rnacentral:rRNA from 1 species